rnacentral:rRNA from 1 species
UACGAAGGGGGCUAGCGUUGCUCGGAAUCACUGGGCGUAAAGCGCACGUAGGCGGACUCUUAAGUCGGUGGUGAAAUCCUGGAGCUCAACUCCAGAACUGCCUUCGAUACUGAGAGUCUCGAGUCCGAGAGAGGUGAGUGGAACUGCGAGUGUAGAGGUGAAAUUCGUAGAUAUUCGCAAGAACACCAGUGGCGAAGGCGGCUCACUGGCC